rnacentral:rRNA from 1 species
ACGCACGCUGGCGGCGUGCCUAAUACAUGCAAGUAGAACGCUGAAGAGAGGAGCUUGCUCUUCUUGGAUGAGUUGCGAACGGGUGAGUAACGCGUAGGUAACCUGCCUUGUAGCGGGGGAUAACUAUUGGAAACGAUAGCUAAUACCGCAUAACAAUGGAUGACACAUGUCAUUUAUUUGAAAGGGGCAAUUGCUCCACUACAAGAUGGACCUGCGUUGUAUUAGCUAGUAGGUGAGGUAACGGCUCACCUAGGCGACGAUACAUAGCCGACCUGAGAGGGUGGUCGGCCACACUGGGACGGAGGCGGGGGGGGGGGGGCUACGGGAGGCAGCAGUAGGGAAUCUUCGGCAAUGGGGGCAACCCUGACCGAGCAACGCCGCGUGAGGGAAGAAGGUUUUCGGAUCGUAAAGCUCUGUUGUAAGUCAAGAACGAGUGUGAGAGUGGAAAGUUUACACUGUGACGGUAGCUUAACAGAAAGGGACGGCUAACUACGUG